rnacentral:lncRNA from 1 species
CUGUUAUGGACUCCUGGACUGGUCCCAGAAAAAUUUUCCUCUAUUAUUUUCUAGGUAUCUGUCAUUUUGUGCUAUUUGUGUUAUUGCUGAGUAUUAUCCUUAGGUUCGUUUUCAGAAAAGAACGUGAAAGAGAGGGAGAAAGAAAGAAGAGAAAGGCAGAAGUGUCCACAGUGAGACCUAAGCAAUCAAUAUCUUCCAACCGCUUCUCAGAAGAGCAGCCUUAUCAAGCCUGCACAUUUGCUACCAGGCUGCACAUUUUCUACCCUUCUUCAUGUCUGUAUGCCCAAGGGAAGUGUUUCACAGAAGAGAGGAGUUUUUCAAGCUGAUCAAGGAAGCCCCAGGAGGCUGUUUAAUUCAAAUACUCCCCAAAAAUUGCCCCAAGUGUCCUGGCUGCAGAAUGCUAUACAGGAAUGAAAACAAAGACAUCCAAGCCUUGAGCCAUUUAGAAGAGGAAGAAGCCAAAAUCCAUGCCAGAGGUUCGACUGCUGGGUUUACUUAUGGCUUCAGGCACAAAUUAAUGACCUUCAAACAGUACAGUGAUAUCGUCUUGAGCCCUCUACUCAGCCAAUCUGCUUUGCUCUCAGCUGCUGAACCAUGUCUGAUCACCCCCUUUGAAGGGGAACGUGUGAUGUUGAGGAGCAAUGAGAUGUUUGCAGAGCCAUUUGUAGAAAGAGAAGACCAUCAGGUGGAACAAGGAAGCUGUUUUCUGCAGGAGGAGCCUGAAGCCAAGUAUCAAUUUGUUUUGAAACUGAAAUCCAGAGAUACAUUUCACUUGCCCAUCAUUUGGAGGGUUCAUCUGUGUCACUCAGAAGUGGAAAAGGAUGGGGACAGACACCUGGUGGGAGAAGGGCAGAGAGAAGAGGUGGCUGGAGGAGGCAGCAAUAGUAAGGAUGGAGUGAGGAACAACCAAGUGCUUUGGCGGCCACUGCUAACAGAGCCAGGAGGGAGAAAUAAAGCCAUGUUCAAGCAGCUGGGCAGAACAAUUGUCAACUAUGCUGAGAAGGCAACAUUUACAACCCCGGUUUGCAAUAUGGGACUACAUCGAGAUCCCCAACUGUACCUCUCACUGAAGGGAUGAACUGGGUGAGCUGACAGGUCUACUUGUGGAACCAGAGAUCUUAAGCAAUUACUGCAGGAGAAUGAGGAGAAGUUAAGUUUAGAUUCACAGCAAGAAGUAUUUAAAGAGCCCGUUUGAGAUCAGAAACCCACUGGGAGCUGACAUCCCCAUUGAAAUCUGCUUCCAUAUUGCGCAGUGACUAUUUGCAAGAAAUUGGCCACUGAAGGAGAACUACACACCAGAUUUAUUCCAGUAACUUCAAACUCUAAGUGCAUUUGUGAAAAGAACAAUCUGCCCAUUAAAGGCCUGAAAGAAAGGUGAAAUUAAUCAAAUGAGUGAUUGAGUAUGAAUAAUUCUCCCAGUCCUUCAAAUCACCAAAUGCAGUGCAAGUCCCUUCUAACCCAACCUCUUUGUCAAAUCUUCUCCCCUUUAAAAAGCUGUUGUAUUAUUUGCCUAAAUUAUUCAUGUGCUGAAAUAAACGUGUUGGUUAUGGACUUGUCCCA